rnacentral:snoRNA from 14 species
UGCACAUGAUGUCUUUCUCUCACGAUGGUCUUCCAAGCCCUGGUGAAGGGGCUCUGCUGACAGUGCCAUGUGGCUUUGCUGAUGCCCAGCC